rnacentral:rRNA from 1 species
UACAGAGGUCUCAAGCGUUGUUCGGAAUCACUGGGCGUAAAGGGUGCGUAGGUGGCGUGGAAAGUCAGAUGUGAAAUCCGGAGGCUCAACCUCCGAAUUGCAUCCGAUACUCCCAUGCUAGAGAACUGGAGGGGAGUCUGGAAUUCUCGGUGUAGCAGUGAAAUGCGUAGAUAUCGAGAGGAACACGAGUGGCGAAGGCGAGACUCUGGACAGUUUCUGACACUGAUGCACGAAGGUCAGGGGAGCAAACGGG